rnacentral:ncRNA from 1 species
CCCGCUGAAUUUAAGCAUAUUACUAAGCGGAGGAAAAGAAACUAACAAGGAUUCCCUCAGUAGCGGCGAGCGAAAAG